rnacentral:rRNA from 1 species
UACGUAGGGUGCGAGCGUUGCCCGGAAUUAUUGGGCGUAAAGAGCUCGUAGGCGGCUUGUCACGUCGGGUGUGAAAGCUCGGGGCUUAACCCCGGGUCUGCAUUCGAUACGGGCUGGCUGGAGUGUGGUAGGGGAGAUCGGAAUUCCUGGUGUAGCGGUGAAAUGCGCAGAUAUCGGGAGGAACACCAGUGGCGAAAGCGGCUACCUGGCCCAUUCUUGACGCUGAGGCGCGAAAGCUAGGGAGCAAACGGGGAU